AUAACUAUACUCUCUUCUCCUCAUCUUUAUAGGCCUUUGCGCACUUAUUACAAGCUCCAAAUGAUGAUGCCCAACUGAUAAUUCGUGAUCGGUUUCCUGUGCCAAGACUGGUGGUGUGUGAUCAGCAUGGUUCCCAGGCAAGAUUCUUGCUGGCAAAGUUGAACCCAUCAGCGACAUACAGUAAUGUACACGAGAUGGCUGCUGGUUCAGAUGUGAUCUUCACUGAUGAUGUGAGUCUACAAGUUUUCAUUGACCAUCUACAGCGUUUGGCAGUCCAAGCUUCUUGAAGACACUGGAUCGAGUUUGGAUUUUCCAAUGCUUGAAAUCAUCGCAAAUGAGUUUUUAUCUCCUCGGCUACCUCUCGUUACAAAAUUAUUCCAAUUUUGUACCUUCUUUUCGGACCCUGAAACAAUAAGGAAAAUUUGGGGAAGUGAACUGGUGCUUGCUUUAUUUGAGAAAUAAGGGGUUCAAGGAUGGUUGUCAUAUGACAUGGAAAGAAAAGGGCCAAUGUAUAACUUAAAAAAGGUUUUUAUUUUUGUCGGACAUUGUUAGUUCUUUGUUACCUUAAUUAUUGUUUGUCAAUACUCGGAUUGCAAGAGACCAUUUCAUGUUGAAUUUAAGAAUGUGGUUAUGGGCUGGGAUUGUAAUUGGUAAAAUUUAUUUUUGCAUGGAUUUAAUUUAGGCUGAAUACCGCUUUACAUCUCUA